AUAACAUAAAACUCAAACGUCAUAUCUGACGUUUAACAUCUGACACAUCCUCUAUAUGAGGACUACAUAUUAAAUAGACUUUUAGAACAGGGAGACGGAAGAGGGGCUUGCUCCCUCCGCUCCAUGCAUCGACCUGGUAUUGCAGUAUCUCCGGGAAUGGUUGGGGCAGUCAUG
ensembl:snRNA U2 U2 spliceosomal RNA